GAUGAACGCUGGCGGCGUGCUUAACACAUGCAAGUCGAACGGAAAGGCUCCUGCUUGCAGGGGUACUCGAAUGGCGAACGGGUGAGUAACACGUGGGUGAUCUGCCCUGCACUUCGGGAUAAGCCUGGGAAACUGGGUCUAAUACCGGAUAGGACGAUGGUUUGGAUGCCAUUGUGGAAAGUUUUUUCGGUGUGGGAUGGGCUCGCGGCCUAUCAGCUUGUUGGUGGGGUAAUGGCCUACCAAGGCGUCGACGGGUAGCCGGCCUGAGAGGGUGUACGGCCACAUUGGGACUGAGAUACGGCCCAGACUCCUACGGGAGGCAGCAGUGGGGAAUAUUGCACAAUGGGCGCAAGCCUGAUGCAGCGACGCCGCGUGGGGGAUGACGGCCUUCGGGUUGUAAACUCCUUUCGCUAGGGACGAAGCGCAAGUGACGGUACCUGGAGAAGAAGCACCGGCUAACUACGUG
rnacentral:rRNA from 1 species